GACGAACGCUGGCGGCGUGCUUAACACAUGCAAGUCGAACGGUGAAGCUCCAGCUUGCUGGAGUGGAUCAGUGGCGAACGGGUGAGUAACACGUGAGCAACCUGCCCCUGACUCUGGAAUAAGCUCUGGAAACGGCGUCUAAUACUGGAUACGAGAAGGGUCCGCAUGGGCACUUUCUGGAAAGUUUUUCGGUUGGGGAUGGGCUCGCGGCCUAUCAGCUUGUUGGUGAGGUAAUGGCUCACCAAGGCGACGACGGGUAGCCGGCCUGAGAGGGCGACCGGCCACAAUGGGACUGAGACACGGCCCAGACUCCUACGGGAGGCAGCAGUGGGGAAUAUUGCACAAUGGGCGAAAGCCUGAUGCAGCGACGCCGCGUGAGGGAUGACGGCCUUCGGGUUGUAAACCUCUUUCAGCAGGGAAGAAGCGAAAGUGACGGUACCUGCAGAAGAAGCACCGGCUAACUACGUG
rnacentral:rRNA from 1 species